rnacentral:tmRNA from 1 species
GCCCUUUUCUUGGCGCAGUUUAGGACCUAUAUGACAGUUGCCGUCUUCGGGCGGCUAUGGCGAUAAACAGGCGAUGAAAUAAACCUAUUGGACCCGGGGGCGGUACCCGGCGCCUCCACCAAAAACCGGUCAGACAUGACUUACGUGUCAAGAAUGGCAGACCGGCUUUUGAUGGGGGCGAAAUAGGAUCGACAAGGGCGUAAAGAUCGACUUUUUGCUCGGCAUUGUACCACCGUUAUCGGGCUAAAAUUGUAGUUGCAAACGACAACUAUGCGGAAGCUCGUCUCGCUGCUUAAUCGCAGUGUGACACUUCAAAUCAAGCCCUUGCGGUUCGCACCGUAAGGCGGGGUUCGGAGGUACCUGGCAACAGAAACCUCCACU